UCAGUCGACUCCUACGGGGAGGCAGCAGUGGGGAAUAUUGCACAAUGGGGGAAACCCUGAUGCAGCCAUGCCGCGUGUGUGAAGAAGGCCUUCGGGUUGUAAAGCACUUUCAGUAGGGAGGAAGGUAGUGUAGUUAACACCUGCACUAUUUGACGUUACCUACAGAAGAAGCACCGGCUAACUCCGUGCCAGCAGCCGCGGUAAUACGGAGGGUGCGAGCGUUAAUCGGAAUUACUGGGCGUAAAGCGCAUGCAGGCGGCCUGUUAAGUCAGAUGUGAAAGCCCGGGGCUUAACCUCGGAAUUGCAUUUGAAACUGGCAGGCUAGAGUCUUGUAGAGGGGGGUAGGAAUUUCAGGUGUAGCGGUGAAAUGCGUAGAGAUCUGAAGGAAUACCAGUGGCGAAGGCGCCCCCCUGGACAAAGACUGACGCUCAGAUGCGAAAGCGUGGGGAGCAAACAGGAUUAGAUACCCUGGUAG
rnacentral:rRNA from 1 species